CCCUCGGUCAGAUGCUCAGCUGACAUGUAGCCCAGCUGCAGCACCUGAGGGUUGGCUUGGCCCAGGAAGGCGCCAUCCUCAAUGUAGGAGAUCUCGUUCUUGGUCAGGUGCAGGUCGGUCAGGUUGCCGAAGCGGUUGAGGCAGAAAGGAGACCCGGCUGUGGACGGGGCUCUCAGGAGUCUCUUCCUCAGUCCCUCGGCCGGUACCCCCAGCUCUGCCCUCUUCUCCUCAAUCUCUGCCCAAGAAGAGCAGGGUCCUGGGCAGUCAGGAGCCUCUGUCCUCUUCUUCCUCUUCCUUGUUCAGGCGUCUCAGAGCUUCAGAGCACAGGCAAGGAGAGAAGAUGCAGACAGGCAGCUAGACAGAGCCAUGUCACCCAGAACCUGGAAGAAAAGCAUAGGAGACAGAGAUGGAUCCAUGAGGAACCCCCAAAGGACUGGAGAGACAAACUUUGGGAUGAAGCAGGAGGAUAGAGGGACACCCAAUGGGAAAAAGAGCCCUUGGCAACUCAGCUCCAAGGCAAGUUCCCCCACCUCCACCCCAGCCACCAAGAGGGGGCUUCCUGCUUCAUCAAGGACUCUGGGUGCCUGUUACAUAAAGGAAGGACAGCCUGGUGGGUGGAAGGGGAGACAGUAGGAGGGGAAGGAGUGGCAGGAGAGAGAAAGGAGAAAUCCUGGGGGGAUUAACAAAGGUUGGGGGUGCUCAAAACAGUGGAGAAAAAGACUUCAGAAACUCAGCAGACCUUGCAGGAGGAAUCCAAACUCAAAGGAACCUUAGACAUCACCCAGGAUCUUAGAGAACCCACCAUUUAGAGCUAGAAGGGACGAGGAGAGCCAUCUUAUGCAACUCCUUUAUGUUAUAAGCGGGGAACUGAGGCAUAGAGAAUGAGGUGGUUUGUCCAAGAUCACCCAGGUACAAGUUGGUACAGAUAGAAUUGGAACCCAGGUCCUCUGAUUCUAAAGUGAGCAUUCUUCCCUAUAAUGCCACCUAGUCCAGCCCCCUUCUUUUACAGAUGAAGACUCUGAAGCCAGAGUGUUUAAGGGAUCUGCCUAAGGACAUACAGGUAGAAAGGAGCAGGGUCAGAAUUUGAACCCAGGUCCUAUGUGUCUAAGUUCCCAAUAUCAGCCAACCCACCCUUCACCACAGGUUCGGCUCUUGGCCCCAGUACGCCUAUCUCUAUGUACAUAUAAGUUCCCGUGUCAUCAGGGAUGUAUGCAAACACAGGCAGACAUGCAUAAGACCAAGAGGCCGGACAGGUUUAUGGAGGAAGGGACUUCAGAGGUCAUCUAGUUCACCCCCCUCGCUUUAUAGAUGAGGGAACUGGGGCCCAGAAAGUCUUAGAGAUUUGUCUAAGGUCACACAGGUGGCAUACAUCCACAGGUAUGCAGGGAUUUGCCUGUGAGAACAUACACCACUCAAGAAAAACAGAUGAGAGGCCCUAAGAACAAAACGCCAUCUCCUCUCCAAGCCAAACGAUAAAUAAUUCAUUUGUUGUGUAACUGCUCUUGUUCCAAAAAUAAUUCCCUUGUCUCAGCUCCAGUGGGGGAAGGGGGAAUAGGGCCACCCAGUCCUGAGCUCAUGGUUGGGGAGGGGGCAGAGGUUGGGGUCUCCUGCAGAAGAAUGAGGUAGGGAGAGC
ensembl:lncRNA